AUCAACUUUCGAUGGUAGGAUAGAGGCCUACCAUGGUGGUAACGGGUAACGGGGUGUUAGGGCACGACACCGGAGAGGGAGCCUGAGAAACGGCUACCACAUCCAAGGAUGGCAGCAGGCGCGCAAAUUACCCAAUCCCGACACGGGGAGGUAGUGACAAUAAAUAACAAUACGGGGUUCUUUAGGAUCUCGUAAUUGGAAUGAGUACAAUUUAAAUCUCUUAACGAGGAACAAUUGGAGGGCAAGUCUGGUGCCAGCAGCCGCGGUAAUUCCAGCUCCAAUAGCGUAUAUUAAAGUUGUUGCAGUUAAAAAGCUCGUAGUUGAAUUUCGGGGUUAGUAGGUUGGUCAUGCCUCUGGUAUGUACUGGUCUCACUGAUUCCUCCUUCCUGAUGAACCGUAAUGCCAUUAAUUUGGUGUUGCGGGGAAUUUGGACUGUUACUUUGAAAAAAUUAGAGUGUUUAAAGCAAGCUAACGCUUGAAUACAUUAGCAUGGAAUAAUGAAAUAGGACGUUCGAUCCUAUUUUGUUGGUUUCUAGGAUUGACGUAAUGAUUAAUAGGGAUAGUUGGGGGCAUUAGUAUUCAAUUGUCAAAGGUGAAAUUCUUGGAUUUAUUGAAGACUAACUACUGCGAAAGCAUUUGCCAAGGAUGUUUUCAUUAAUCAAGAACGAAAGUUAGGGGAUCGAAGACGAUCAGAUACCGUCGUAGUCUUAACCAUAAACUAUGCCGACUAGGGAUCGGAUGAUGUUAAUUUUUUAAUGACUCAUUCGGCGCCUUACGGGAAACCAAAGUGUUUGGGUUC
rnacentral:rRNA from 1 species